rnacentral:rRNA from 1 species
UACGUAGGGUGCGAGCGUUGUCCGGAAUUAUUGGGCGUAAAGAGCUCGUAGGCGGUUUGUUGCGUCUAUCGUGAAAACCUGCGGCUUAACUGUGGGCUUGCGGUGGAUACGGGCAGACUUGAGUUCGGUAGGGGAGACUGGAAUUCCUGGUGUAGCGGUGAAAUGCGCAGAUAUCAGGAGGAACACCGGUGGCGAAGGCGGGUCUCUGGGCAUUAACUGACGCUGAGGAGCGAAAGCAUGGGGAGCGAACAGG